UCCGGCGUCGCCCAACGGCAGGGCACCGCACUGUUGAUGCGCACAGGUGAAGGUUCGAAUCCUUCCGCCGGAGC
rnacentral:tRNA from 1 species